UGGUGUCAUACAAUGGACAGGGUUGGGGAAACCCAAGCUUGGAAUCUCCAGCCUGUUAACUCAGGUCUCCUGUUGCAAUGUCGCCCUUAACCUCGCUGGACAUCAUCUACACCGAAGAGCAUUGGCUAUGAUCACUGGAGUGUCUCGCACUUCAGAUUUUGGCUUUUUGGUCACCAGCAUGUGGAGUCUUAGUUUCCCGACCAGGGAUUGAACCUGCACCCUCAGCAUUGGAAAGCAAAGUCUUAACCACUGGACCACCAGGGAAGUCCCUACACCAAUCUUCUUAAAGGACACAAGUUUCACAAAUAAUUGCCCCAAAGAUGACAACUUAACUUUAAUUUUUUCCAAAGAGUGCCUUGAUUGUGGCCAGCUAUUAGCAAUUUUUCUCUCCAUCUUUUUAAGCCGAUAUUCUCUUUCAGCUUUGCUGAGGGACCCCAAUUUGACACAGAGCGAGAAGAUGUUAAGAAGGUUCUGUGCAAGUAUAUGUGGAGAAACAAAAGAGAGAAACAAGGAGCUGAAUUUUCACUCAACGCAGCCCCCCUCGCUUAAAGAAAUAACUGCAGUACAGAUUUUAACAAUUAACAUUCCUUCAGUGGAUGUCAUUAUGGAUGGAGCUAAUAAAUGUUUUCAAACACUCCUCUGCUCAAAUACACCGCUCAGCUUAUUUUCUGUCAUUUGAUGGCAUGGGUGGGUUGAGACAUUCCUCUAAGCUUUUUUUUCUUCCAAGUCUAAGAAAGAGAUCUUAUCUUCCUCCCCACCCUCACUCACCCCCUUCCUCUGCCCUCCCCUGUCGGUGCCUACUUCACUGAAACCUGACUUGCAGGUCAGCGGGCUGGUAACAGAUUAAUUUUACUCUGUGAGGAACACCGAGCAUUUUGGCCAGGAAACAUGAGAACCCUGUUAUAAUAUUACCGUUUUUCUAAAUUAAAUAUUAGGAAAAAUUAAACCGAAUUGUGGCACAAAGUGCAAUGGAAAAUAUUUCUCUUCCAAACACUCCUCUGUGAUAAAUGCCUGUGUAAGUGAAAGCACAAUAAAUAUGCACUACAUUAAAAACCUAGAUUAUUCAGGUUUUAAGACUUAUAGCUAAAAGUGGUUUAAUGUUUCAUGCCUAAUAAUAGAUUACUCCUAUCACAUUUCUAACCUUUAUUUCUCCUAGCUUUGAAGUCCAGCCAUAUAAAGGUUGUUUGUAGAACCACACGA